AGCUCAAUCUGCUGGAGAUAAUUUGUUUGCUUUGCAAUUAUUUUCCAUCACUGGAGACAAAUUGAUUCACUGGGCAAAACUGACGAUCACUGCGAGGCAGUUGGCUUCCUGAAGAGCAGGAAACCGGCAAGCUCGCGCCGUUUCUUUCGCACGCGGGCUCUUGAACCAGCACUGUUCAUGUAUGAGUUGUUCACGAUCAGCUGAUUGGGGGGGAAAAAUCUAUAUGGCAUUAACUACUAUGAGACUGCAGUAUAUUUGGUGUUUGGUUUUUCUGUCUGCCUGGGUUGUAAUUUCAAUGUCCCCAGUCAAUCCCUUUAAUCUUGUUUUUAUUGUAUUUUUUUACAAGGUUAAUGCAUGCAUGAUUGAUUGAUUGAUUGACUGCUUGAUAGACUUGAUCCCUUGUGGGAUAUACACAGUGUUUCUAAACACCAGAAUACAGAUUCUACACAUUGUUCCUGGACACUUUAAACAUUGUUCGUUUAAAAAAUAAAAAGCGAAAAACAUUUCCCAACACCGUGUGGAAUUCGGUUUCAGUUUCAUCUGAUAAAGAAAGUCACGCCAACUUAUUCGGUUUAAAUGAUCCAGUUUUUUUUUUUCAGUUCAAUUACAGCUGACUGGACUAAUACUAAAGGUAAACUUAACACAGCACACGGUGGUCAAAGUUCAAAUUUAAGGGCUUAGGUUUUGCUCUGUAGGUGUGAGAGUGAACGUUAUGCGCAUAGGUCACGUUUCAAAGUCUGGAAGGAUCUUGCUCCGAGCCGCAUGGCUAACUCUCCCCCGCUGUCCAUGUGAGAGGAGGUCCGAGGUCACCAAUUACUUGGGAAGGCUGAGAAAGCUGUAUGAAGCCGCUCUCAGCUGCCAUCCAGCAUUAGCGUCAAGCAGCUUGCAGUUCUGCAGUUCGGGGCAAAAGCGUAAUCCUGAAAAAACCAGCCAGGCAACAAAAACUGCCAAAUAGAAGAAUGCAAAGCAUAUGGACUCAUCACACCCCUGUAAGCCCUGGACCUCACACCAUUCCACAACACCUUUACCUGCUGGGCUUUGGUGUAUGUGCACUGCAAGUUUACUGCUGUCUACAAAAUAAGCGUUUCCAGCGCGGCUACAGCUUGCUAUCUGGCACAGAGACACUCUCUGCUGGGAGAGAGGAAGAACCUGCAGCCUAAAACUGUUCCAGUUAAUUCCCAGUGACGUGAGGGGAGCAGACAGGCGAGAGGAACAAGCCCUUGAGUCAUGUAAAAUGCAAAAGAAAUACUACUUCAUUGCAGUCUUCAGAUUGGCGAGGGCUAACAGAACCUUUAAACCUAACCAAACCAAGCCAUUAAAACAGUCGCUAAGCAUAAUUCUGAAUCCGGCUGUGUCUAUUUGCCUGUGCUUCAUACGUGUACCUCCCUCUCUCUCUCUCUCUCUCUCACUCACUCACUCACUCACUCACACACACACACACACACACACACGCAGCCUUGAAAAAUGCCUAGUUGAAUUGGAUAUGUAGACAACAAAUAACACUUCUUAUAAAGGACAUUUGUGACAGAAUUCUAAAUUUAUGGUAUAUCUUCAUCUUAAUUUUGUUUAUGUGCACCCCAUAAAGAGAUUUUGUUUGGACAUUUUCAUUAACAAUUGUUCCCCUUUAUUCACCAUAAUUUGGGAUCACCUAGUUAGCACAUGAUUGCUUCCCAAGGUACACAAAAUAAUAAAUAAAUAAAUAAAUAAAAAUCAAGCAAUUCCAUUUGUGGCAAGGCUCAUCCAUAAACAGUGAAAUUCAGCUAUGUGAAUUAGUACUGUUUGGCGUUCUUUGACAUUGAUAAACAGAGAUUUUUAAAAAUGUUUGCAGGCAAUCGAACAUCAAAAUUUUAAUGCAUUAACUAUGGGGAAAUAUUCGAGCUCAUCAGCUCUGCUUAUUU